UUUCUCUACCGUAUCGGUCAAUUUGACCGAUGGCGCGUAAAAACAGGACUACGCAAAAGGAGUGCCUCUAAAUCUUUGCCAUUACGGCCAUAAGAUAUAUGAUCUAUAUAUCAUAUUUUUGGAAAUUGUCUCUAUUUUUUAAAUAUGUAAAAAUCAAUUGAGUAAGUAAAGCCAUAAGAUUAACAAAAGCAUUUAAAGCAAAGGAUGGCUUCGUCUAAAUAUGACGCAAUGCUUUGUCGCAAGGUCAUUUUCCCCCUCGAUAUGAUUUUUUUUAUUUCCCUAAUGAAUGCAAUAUUUUUUUAUUUUUGAAAAUCAUAUAUUCCCUGCUUUCAGAAGAUAUAAAAAUUAUUUUUAAUGCCUUGCAAAGUUAUAAGAAAAUAGCAAUUGUUUGCACAUGUACGUUUUCUUACGAUUUUAUUUUUCAAUGUUUAAACAGAUCGGCAUUUUACCUAUACUUAUAUAUAGAAAUAGGGAAAAGUAAAUACAGCCGCUAAAAGUAGAGGAAAUUUCCUUUUUGAUGGGCCCUUAUUCGUGUUAUAAUUCUCGGUAGUUUUUAUAUUACGAUAAAAUAAAAUUGGGACAUGCUGUGCGGUUUUCUUUAAAAUUAACGACAAAACGUCGUCGCUGAAAGCAAUCGACGCGCGUCGCACAAUAAAGUGGUGAAAACUAUUUGUAUAGUCCUGUAUUAGUAAAUUCAGUACCUUUUGAUACACUACAACAAUAUACAUAUAUGUAUGAAAUAAUCAGCCAGGUUAUCUCUGCUUUUUUUUCAAAAGCUUAAAACCAGUAUUGGUAUAACAGUUACACAACCUACAAACACCUAUUGAAAAUGUUACAUCGGCAAAGUAAAUUUUUAAAAAAGAUAAAUAAACUACUUUAAAUUCAGAUAUAAACGCUAUAUCUGUUUAGAAUAGUAAUAGUAAUAUUUUUUCCCUGCCAAAGAAAGAAAACAAAAAAGAAUUUCGCAUAUAGCAUAUACACUUAUUUUUCCGUGAUCCGGAUCGUGGGCCGCGCGGGGUUUUCUGAAGGUGUGCACGGGGAACACACGUGUUUCCGUUUCAACGAAAACAACACAGCUUCACUGUGAUUGUCACAGCGAACGCUUGUAUUUUACAUCUUUAAAACGACCUGAUGUCAGAAGAAGAUGUCCUGGAUCUCCUGUUGCAGGAUGACCCAAACGAUCAUGCAUUCAGUAUAAACAUGUACAUGGUAUUGACAUCCCAAUAUUUAGUGGGAAGGUCCCAGGUAUCGUCCGCUAGUGACAGUCUACUGGCAAAGCCAGACAUGCAUUGGAAGGAUGUUGAUGUGGAGGACACAGGGACACCUGAUCCAAGAACUGUGGCAUUUCAUUCGGAGCGACAGCCUGGCAUUCAGUUGAUAUGGGACCCGUUUAUUCAGAGAACUGAGAUUUUAUGAAGCUGUUUUGACAGAAGAUUUAGUUUUCUCCAUCUGUGUUGCCAUCAACCAUUAUGCUGAUAUGGUCAUAUCUAGAGGGAAGGAUCGUCAUAUGCUUCCCAAGGAAGUUCGCAGCCUCUCACUGAAGAGGAUACUAGUUUAAAAAAAAACGAUAUUGUGACAGUGAUUUCCAGUUUAAAACGAGUAAUAAAAUGCAUAAUAAAAAUAUUUCCUUUACCAAAAUUAAUUUGGCUGCACAUCUAACACAUUUAUUAAAUGUGUACUCAAUUACCUCAGAUGCAAGGUGAAUAUAAAAUUUCAUAAUUAAAUUUUCAGAGGGCCUUGAUUAUAGAAAACAUUUACAGAGCUAAUUGAGUAUUCGAAAGCUCUGACAAUACAUUAGUAUUAGGGCCCAGUAUUAAGAAAUCCCCCCCCCCCCCGAUUUUUGUGCAUUAUCUUAUACAUGUCUGCUGUGAAGUUCCAGUCGAUAGACAUAUAUUGGUCAAUGCAUGCCCCUAUCGGAACAACCCAGUAUCAAGAAUUGUAUCUAGAAAUACUUUUGUUAAAUAUGAUGCAAGUUCAUUUAAAUCUAGUAAUUGAAAGUAAGUGGGGAUCCGGGUUAGAAUAUGUCCUCAUUAUCCCUUGCUUGUCGUAGAAGGCGAUUAAAUGGGGCGGUCCUUUGGAUGAGACCGCAAAAACCGAGGUCCCAUGUCACAGCAGGUGUGGCACGAUAAAAAUCCCUCCCUGCUCAGAGGCCAUAAGCGCCGAGCAUAGGCCUAAAUUUUGCAGCCCUUCAAGGGUAGUGAUGACGUCUCCAUAUGAGUGAAAUAUUCUCGAGAGGGAUGUUAAAUUAUAUUCAAUCAAUCAAUCAUUGGUAUAUGUUGAACUUGGGGAGAAAAACGGGAGUACUUUUUGAUAACAUUUGAUAAGGUGUUGUUGCUUAGAAACCAAAUAUAUUUGAAUACAAAAAAAUUAUUUCUUUUAGAUUAACAAUAAACAUCUUUGUUUUAAUGUUGCAAUACUUAUUCUAUUUAGUGGAACAUAAUGGCAAAACGUCAUAUUAGAAAAUGAUGGAUAUGUAUAUAAAGUACGAAAUUUACAUUUUAUGACCUUUGACCUUAAUUCUCUUCAUCAUAUUUUUUGUUAAAAACCCUUUAAAAUGAUUAAGAUCUAUUUAAAGAUUAUAUUUUUAAAAUCAUGUGACAUUUACUAAUCAUCAUGCAAUGUAAUUAUGUUUAAAUUGUGUCGAAUGGAUGCAGAAAGGCAAAUUAUGGUCAAAAUUGUACUAAAAGUGUUGUUACUUAGCAACCAAAAAUAUUUGUUUUUAAAUAAAAUUGAUGAAUUUGAUUGUGGUGUUUUGUAGUAUUUUAAAAGGCACAUCAGCUCAUCCAUUUAGAAUUUCCUAUUUUUGACUCUAAUCUUGUAAGAGGGGUUGUAAUAUAUAUAUUUCAGAGAAAAAAGAUUGCAAAAUUGUGCACUUAUAUGACCUUUGACCCCGUAGACCUCCUUGAGGUCAUGGGAUACCUUGACAAACUUUAUAAGAAAUUGUUCCCUGUCCAAUUCCUAACAAAAUUAUAUGUCGUAUGUUUACCCCAAAUCGUGAUACACGCAGAUUUAAAUCGAUGUAAAAAUAUUGUCAUUUAGUCUUUAAAAACCUCUAAAAUCUGCCGGUAGAGAAAGGGUUAA